GUCUGAACCAGUUUUUUGAAGUUUUGAACCAGUUUUUUGAAGAUCUGAAGGGCAACUCUAUGGACCAGGAAUCGCCGAUUAGCAUAUUAAUGCGAUGGAAAUUGUGACCUGCACCUUUCCGGCCGCACGACAAAUGCAUACUGGAGACGCCUCGGUGAAAUGCUUGUACCAGGCAUAAUAUGACAUGUAUCCUAAU